UUCUUCGCUUCAGGGUCUUAAGGUGAUUGCGUUUCUGGUUGUGCUUGCGAUUCCACUCCUAUUGUUUAGCUGAUUCGUUGCAACAGCAGCUUUGCUUAAACAUACUGGUGAACCUUUGGUCAACAUGAAAAGAGCUGCUGGCCCUUCGGCAAAUGGAAGGAGCAGGAAGUACACUUCUUUGGUUAAAUGGGCACAGCAAGGCAACACAAUGGCAUUUCUUGUUCGCGGCUGCACCCUGAAUGACCACCUCAACAAAUCAAAAUGACUGAGUUGAAUAAGGCGCAGCCUCAGGUGCAGAUGACCAAGGUGCCAUUUUAAUAAGCGUGACUAAGCACUUCCAUUGCCACUUCAGUGGCCUGCUGUAAACACUCUGUUGCAUGCCACAGACACAGGUUUGUUUUGAUGAAGGUGCAACCAGCGAGGCUCUCCCGAGCCUGGACUCUCUCCCGAGCCUAGACUCUCCCUUGUGAUUUCUCUGAGGUGACAAUGCUUAUGGGACACUUCAGAGUGUUAAUUAGUCAGGGGUAACUUUGGGAAAGUGCAAAUAAUGGGAGGUUCAUUAAUUCUACCUUCAUGAAAAGAAUAUUUUUGCUUUAAAAAACAAUUUCUCAACAGUUUCAAUUAAAGCAGGAAAAUUAUAAAAAUUAUUAUUAAAUAUUAUAUUAUAAUAUAUUAGAGUAUUUAUUUUUAUAUUCCAGAAAAAAUAAAACACAAUUAAGUUGCCAUAGUGACCAUUAAAAAAAAUAUAUUCAAUCUGUAUUCUGAAAAGGAAUGAAAAUAUAAAUAUAAAAAAUAAAAAGGGACAGUUAUUACAAUAAAAGUAGGCAAUCUGAGCCUGGGUGGAGGUUUAACAAGCACAAAAUCACACUGCUAUAGUGACACUGGAUUAUGCCAUUAAUCUAAACUUUUAUGUGCAUAUUGAUGGAUUUUUCAGUUGGCAAUUUUAUACAUUCAAAUGAUUUAACACAACAUUUAACAAGCAAAAGAGCAUCAACACGAUAACAAGGAUGGUUAUCUCCAUCUUACGAGGCAGUUUUGGAUGUUAUAGAAUUCUCUAAUACUGCCUGGUAAUGAUGCAGAUGGCCCUCGAAUAACUCUACGAAAAUGCAGUCUAAUUAUAAGCUCUAUUUCACUCAAAAUUAAAAUAAGCCAUGGUUAAAUGCUCUUAGGGCACAUCUUACCUGACAGUGCUGGGCUGAUCACUUGUGUUCUAACACUGUCUGGUAAUGAUGCACACUGAGAGCAAGAAACUUGAGUAUCAUCCAUUGUGAAGCACAGAGUCAUUUAUUAUACAAACAUUUACUGAAACCUACAGCUAAAUGCAAUGUGUAUCACCUGUAAUCAGUUAGAUAUACUUUUUUGUGAAAAGCAGUUAAGAAUUUUGACUGUUUGACAAUUAGAUGAGAAAAAUAUCGUGUUGAAGUUGAUACUGGGUGUUUUCAUCUCACUUUCAUCCGGCUUUUGUCAUGAGAUUCAAAAUUCACCAUUUUUUUUUUCAGCCCAACCCUGUUGCCCUGUUGAUUGUCUCAAUGACUGGUGUUUGAAGGGCCCCUCCCAAACACACACACACACACACACACACACACACACACACACCUACUAGUGUGUUCUGUCAACCUCUGAUUGGUCCAUUAAACCCCACCUCUAUGGCUUAUUAUGUUGGUGACACAUGAGAUGUGUGUGAGAUGAAGGGUUCCUUUUUUUAUUCUCCGAGAUAAAGGAAAAGGAAGUUAUUACUGUCACCGAAAAGAUGUAUAACACAGUUUAUAAUACUUGGUUAUAGAUGCUUUGCGUUAACUUCUGCAAUAAUUUUGGCAGUGGACAUGAGAUGCUUUGACAAAAUAUUUGGUUCUUUUCCUAUCGCACACUCACAACCACGGACAAUCGCAGAUCUAAAUAACAUGCAAUUCAGAUUUGCAACGGACAGGUGCCACAUAAAAGCAUUUAACAACUAUGUCAUGUUCAAGGUAAUGUUUGCCAAGGGCCUGCUCUUAAAGUGAAGUGUAACCAAACCUUUCUUUACUUUAUCCCAACCCCCCACCACCAGCACUAGUAUUUCUGCUAUUCUAUUCAGUUGUAUAAAGCUCCCAUGAAUGUUUUCUAUCGCUCAUUGUAAUCAUGUUGCCUUUAUUUGCUCUGCCUUUUCUAAUUCUGCCUCUGUUUCACAUUCUGUCCUUGUGCAGUUUCACCAGCCUGAUUCUUCUCCGGACUCAACUCUCCUCUCUGCCUCUUUCAAAUCCUCUGAUUUGCGUCUUACCAGGCAUGUUUAGACGUUGGUAUUCUCUCUAAUACUGCCUGGUAAUGCUGCCAAUCACAAGGAAGUUGCUCAUCAUGGCUUUCCUGCUCGGUCAGCACAGGAACUCUUUUACAUAUGCAUGCUAACAUUAGAGCUUCUGUUCAUCUGCCAAAUUCAUAUUUUUUUUUAUUGUAAUUAAUAAAUGAGGCAAGUUGAUGCAAAUCUUCUAAUGUAAUUGGUAUAUGCAAUAAAUGAUAUUUUAUUUAAA